CUGCAGGACACCGACCCUUGAGGCCUGGAGUUCAAAGGAUCUGCUGUACAUGCCUGAAAUCAUUCUCUUCAAUAGCAUUCCUUCAUUCCCAAAGGCUGUUCCAGUCCACCUCAGUGAAGAAUGAGUGCUGCUUCACUUCAAAAGCACCACCUUGGGGGCAGAGCAAGGAAAGGAGGUGGAUGUAAAAAGAGAGAAUGAGGGAGCGCGAUGACAGACAGACCUGUCCUCACCUUCUACGUACUCCAUGACCAUGCAGAGGUGCCGACGUGUUUCAAAGGAGCAGAACAUGGAGACGACAAAGGGAUUCUCUGCAAAGGUGAGAAUGUC